rnacentral:rRNA from 1 species
GUGGGGAAUCUUGCGCAAUGGGCGAAAGCCUGACGCAGCCAUGCCGCGUGAAUGAUGAAGGUCUUAGGAUUGUAAAAUUCUUUCACCGGGGACGAUAAUGACGGUACCCGGAGAAGAAGCCCCGGCUAACUUCGUGCCAGCAGCCGCGGUAAUACGAAGGGGGCUAGCGUUGCUCGGAAUUACUGGGCGUAAAGGGCGCGUAGGCGGACAGUUUAGUCAGAGGUGAAAGCCCAGGGCUCAACCUUGGAAUUGCCUUUGAUACUGGCUGUCUUGAGUACGGGGGAGGUGAGUGGAACUCCGAGUGUAGAGGUGAAAUUCGUAGAUAUUCGGAGGAACACCAGUGGCGAAGGCGGCUCACUGGCUCGAUACUGACGCUGAGGUGCGAAAGCGUGGGGAGUAAACAGGAUUAGAUACCCGAGUAGUCC